GACGAACGCUGGCGGCGUGCUUAACACAUGCAAGUCGAACGAGAAAGCCCUUCGGGGUAAGUACAGUGGCGAACGGGUGAGUAACACGUGGGCAACCUGCCCCGGAGAGCGGGACAACCCGAGGAAACUCGGGCUAAUACCGCAUGAUGCGUCUCCACUUAAGUGGAGCCGCCAAAUGGUAGCUUCGGCCUCCGCUCUGGGAUGGGCCCGCGCCGGAUUAGCUAGUUGGUUGGGGUAAUGGCCCACCAAGGCGACGAUCCGUAGCUGGUCUGAGAGGACGAUCAGCCACACUGGGACUGAGAAACGGCCCAGAGUCCUACGGGAGGCAGCAGUGGGGAAUCUUGCGCAAUGGGCGAAAGCCUGACGAAGCAACGCCGCGUGAGGGAAGAAGGCCUUCGGGUUGUAAACCUCUUUCAGUAGGGACGAAGCUUCCGGGGUUAAUAGCCCACGGGGUGACGGUACCUACAGAAGAAGCCCCGGCUAACUACGUGCCAGCCGCCGCCGUAA
rnacentral:rRNA from 1 species